CUGCUGGAGCGAUGCCAGCAGGGAGGAGGGAGGGCCUGGGCAGAGCAGGGGUGGGAGCCCGAGGUGGCCUGCAGCUACACGGCGGGAUUAGUGACACCGGCCCCUCCCAGGGAGCGGGUUCAGACAGGAUGAGAGGGAGGCCGCCCGCGCCCAGGUCACAGGGGCCACUGGCAGGCCCGGAGAGGGAGCCCCCCCAGCCUGGGCUCCCUGGGGCCUGCCCGCUCUGGCGUGGUUGUUGGGAAAACCUGUUGGAUGAUGCCCCGAAAGACUAGAUGAUUUGGCCAAGAAAAAGGACACAGCAGAACUGGCAGAGCUGGGAUGUGACCCCGAGCUGACUGGCCCCAGCUCCUCUUGACUGCGAUGCAAACUUCCUGGAGCCUGCCCUCAGAGCACUUAGGUCAUCUUGGAAUAGCACUUGUGUCGAUGGGAUUGCCUGUGAGUGCCCACUCCAGGGUCGGAUUCUGAGCUAGCUGCCUUGGUGUUUGCUCACCACCACGUACCCAGCACCUAGCUCUGCCCUGACCAGAAACUUCGGGACAGCACCCGUGUGAGAGGUUUCCAGGAGGCUCAGAUGAGAUAAAGAACUUGAAGUAACAGGUGGUUCCCUGUGAAAUCACCCGCCCUGCUCUGAGCUCACCACAGGCACUUGGGAAAUGUUUAUGCCUGGGCCAGACUCACUGGGAACACUUGAAUGUGAAGCUCCCCAAAGAACCUACUAUUUAUUUAUUUGAGAGAGAGAGAGAGAGAGAGAGAGAGCGCAACCAUGGGGGAAGGGCAGAGGGAAAGAAGCAGACUCCCCGCUGAGCAGGGAGCCCAAAAUGGGGCUCAGUCCCAGGACCCUGGGAUUACGACCUGAGCCAAAAGUUAGAUGCUUAACUGAGUUAAGUUAGACUGAGCCACCCAGGUGCCCCAAAGUACCUACUUUUGAACCUUGGAUGCUGACUCAGACCAUCUUCCUGUUUUAGGGAGGAGCAUUUCCAUCCCUCUGUUCAGCAACCAAAAUCCUGUUUUCAGCUUCAGCUUCAGGCUUGACAAAGAACAUCCCUGAAAUGCCCCCAAGAAGGGGGAAGAAAAAGGCUGGGGGAUGGGGGAAGAAAAGACCUGGCUUCCAGGCCACAUGUUCUCCCCUCUCUUCUCUGGGUUUGUGGAGCCUGAAGGGGUGAGAGGAAUCUGGGGUCCUCAGAAUGACACUCUCCCCAACCUUCCUUCGUUCGUUUAGCCAGCUGCAGAAGAAUGAUGCAUGUGUGCCUCUGUUCAAGGAGAUGCUGAACAAUCCAUUUCUAACUGAUGAAUCAAUCCCAUGCUGUGGUAUCUUCAUUACCUGUUUGUAAAGUUCUCCAGGACCAGGCUGGCUAUCUAAGAGAGAAAGUUAUCCUACUUCGGGGCAAGAGACUUCUUGGCGUUUGUGGCUGAGGUCUUUAUUUUUCAAGGAGGUGUCCUCAUUUGCUGAAGACAAUUUCUUGGCUCAAAUGAACCAGCUCAACAGUCACCUGCGUUCGCUGACAGACUGUUGCUUCCUAAUAUUGCCACACCUGGGGUGUGUGUGGGGGCCCUUGGUGGGUGACGUGAAUAUCUAUAUCCAUUUAGGGCCAGGUGGUGACAGCUUCAGCUGUAGUCCCCACAGGUGGCUUGGCUCUUAAUCAAACUCCUUUUGAUUUACAUGAGAAGUCUUCUUCAGGAAUUUCUUCUGCUGCUCAAAAUUGUGCGUCCCAUUGUCAUGGACAGCGUGAGUUUCAGAAAAUCUGGGGCUCAAAUGAGAAAGGGAGGUUGUGACCCUGUCAAUAAAAUUGGUAUGCAAA